CCUAACCUUGUAAUCAACUGUUACUUGACUUAUACAUGCAAGUCUCCGCACUCCGGUGAGAACGCCCUUAAUUUCUUUUUGAAACAAGGAGCCGGUAUCAGGCACAAUAAUUUUGCCCAAAACACCUAGCUUCGUCACAUCCACAAGGAUAUCCAGCAGUAAUUAACAUUGAGUAUAAGUGUCAACUUGACUCAGUCAAAGUAAAGAGGGUCGGCUAAUAUUGGUGCCAGCCGCCGCGGUUACACCACGAGACUCAAAUUGAUUGCUUUCGGCGUAAAGCGUGAUUAAAGUUACUCUACAAAUUAUAGUUCAACCAUAACUAGGCUGCAGUACGCUUGUCUAUGGGAAAUCCAGAAACGAAAGUUAUUAUAAUUAUUUCAACUUGAAUCCACGACAGCUAAGGCACAAACUGGGAUUAGAUACCCCACUAUGCUUAGCCGUAAACUUUAAAUUACAUUCACAUCGCCCGGGAACUACGAGCAAAGCUUAAAACCCAAAGGACUUGACGGUACCCCACAUCCACCUAGAGGAGCCUGUCCUGUAAUCGAUAAUCCCCGCUAAACCUCACCAUUUUUAGCUAAUCAGCCUGUAUACUUCCGUCGCCAGCUUACCACGUGAGCGUUAAUUAGUGAGCUUAAUGUCUUUACUUCAAUACGUCAGGUCAAGGUGCAGCAAAUAAAAUGGGAAGAGAUGGGCUACACUCUCUAAUUUAGAAUACACGAAUGACUAUUUAUGAAAUCUAGUCGGAAGGCGGAUUUAGUAGUAAAAAGAGACAAGAGAGCUCUUUUUAAACCAGGCGCUGGGGUGUGUACAUACCGCCCGUCAUCCUCUUCGAAGCAAAUAAUCAGUAAUUAACUAAUUUUUAGCACCUUAGAAGAGGCAAGUCGUAA
rnacentral:ncRNA from 1 species